AUUUCUACCUGUUCCAGCCUCAUUUCUUCUUACUGAACAACGACUGUUGAGGUGGAUCUAAACCAGUCAACCGGUGAACCGGUUCACCGGUGUGCCAGUGUGCCAGUGAACCAGUGAACAAGUGAGCCAGUGAGCCAGUGAACAGGUUUUAGGGACAUGAAGUGUUUAGCUGAGGUUGGACAGGUUUUAGUGAUAUGAAGCGUUUAGCUGAGGUUGGACAGGUUUUAGGGACAUGAAGCGUUUAGCUGAGGUUGGACAGGUUUUAGGGACAUGAAGCGUUUAGCUGAGGUUGGACAGGUUUUAGGGACAUGAAGCGUUUAGCUGAGGUUGGACAGGUUUUAGGGAUAUGAAGCGUUUAGCUGAGGUUGGACAGGUUUUAGUGAUAUGAAGUGUUUAGCUGAGGUUGGACAGGUUUUAGGGACAUGAAGCGUUUAGCUGAGGUUGGACAGGUUUUAGGGACAUGAAGCGUUUAGCUGAGGUUGGACAGGUUUUAGGGAUAUGAAGCGUUUAGCUGAGGUUGGACAGGUUUUAGGGAUAUGAAGUGUUUAGCUGAGGUUGGACAGGUUUUAGGGAUAUGAAGUGUUUAGCUGAGGUUGGACAGGUUUUAGUGAUAUGAAGCGUUUAGCUGAGGUUGGACAGGUUUUAGUGAUAUGAAGCGUUUAGCUGAGGUUGGACAGGUUUUAGGGACAUGAAGCGUUUAGCUGAGGUUGGACAGGUUUUAGUGAUAUGAAGUGUUUAGCUGAGGUUGGACAGGUUUUAGGGACAUGAAGCGUUUAGCUGAGGUUAGACAGGUUUUAGUGAUAUGAAGCGUUUAGCUGAGGUUGGACAGGUUUUAGGGAUAUGAAGCGUUUAGCUGAGGUUGGACAGGUUUUAGGGAUAUGAAGCGUUUAGCUGAGGUUGGACAGGUUUUAGGGACAUGAAGCGUUUAGCUGAGGUCUGACAGGUUUUAGUGAUAUGAAGCGUUUAGCUGAGGUUGGACAGGUUUUAGGGAUAUGAAGCGUUUAGCUGAGGUUGGACAGGUUUUAGGGAUAUGAAGCGUUUAGCUGAGGUUGGACAGGUUUUAGGGAUAUGAAGCGUUUAGCUGGGGUUGGACAGGUUUUAGUGAUAUGAAGCGUUUAGCUGAGGUUGGACAGGUUUUAGGGACAUGAAGUGUUUAGCUGAGGUUGGACAGGUUUUGGUGAUAUGAAGUGUUUAGCUGAGGUUGGACAGGUUUUAGUGAUAUGAAGCGUUUAGCUGAGGUUGGACAGGUUUUAGGGAUAUGAAGCGUUUAGCUGAGGUUGGACAGGUUUUAGGGACAUGAAGUGUUUAGCUGAGGUUGAACAGGUUUUAGUGAUAUGAAGUGUUUAGCUGAGGUUGGACAGGUUUUAGGGACAUGAAGCGUUUAGCUGAGGUUGGACAGGUUUUAGUGAUAUGAAGUGUUUAGCUGAGGUUGGACAGGUUUUAGGGACAUGAAGUGUUUAGCUGAGGUUGGACAGGUUUUAGGGACAUGAAGUGUUUAGCUGAGGUUGGACAGGUUUUAGUGAUAUGAAGUGUUUAGCUGAGGUUGGACAGGUUUUAGUGAUAUGAAGUGUUUAGCUGAGGUUGGACAGGUUUUAGGGACAUGAAGUGUUUAGCUGAGGUUGGACAGAUUUUAGGGACAUGAAGCGUUUAGCUGAGGUUGGACAGGUUUUAGGGACAUGAAGCGUUUAGCUGAGGUUGGACAGGUUUUAGGGA